AAAAAAAAAAAAAUCAACAUUAACUAACAGGGCUUUUGUUUCACGGUUGAAAAUUUCACUAUCGGGAAUAACUUUCCCAAGAAAUAAUAAUGGCCAUUUUAUUCUCAGGUAUUUUAAAGAAAAUGUGUUUCGUUAGUAAAAAUCAUAUUCCUUGGAGUUAUGUAAGAGCGAGUAUGUGGGUAGUUAUUUUAAUUUUAUUCCCAUUUUUAUGGGAACCUUUUAUUCCUAUCCAUUUUUUUGGGAUUAAGGUGUAAAUUACUUUUUUGCUGAGAAUGUUUUAUU
rnacentral:lncRNA from 1 species